ACCAAAUGACUCCUCCCACAAUAUUACGAUGUUCUCCAAGUUUUGGACUCAGUCCGAUAUCGAUUGGGCCUUCAAAUCGGACAAUUCAGGUUCGUACUAAGUUCGUUCUGAAAUGGAGUGGUUGGUGUAUUGUAUAGUUGUAGGGAUUGUAUUUCACUCAAAACCUACCAAAUGACUCCUCCCACAAUAUUAUGUUGUUCCUCAAGUUUUGAACUCAAUCCGAUAUCGAUUGGGGCUUGAAACCGGACAAUUCAGGUUCGUACGAAGUUCGUUCUGAAAUGGGGUGGUUGUUGUAUUGUAUAGUUCUAGGGAUUGGAUUUCACUCAAAACCCCCCAAAUGCCUCC
rnacentral:lncRNA from 1 species